AUAUUUACCUGGCAGGGAAGAUACCACGAAUACGAUGAAGGUGGUUUUCCCAGGGCAAGGCUUAUCCAUAGCAUUCUGGAUGUGCUAACCCCUGCGAUUUACCCAAAUGUGGGAAACUUGACUGCAUAAUUUGUGGUAGUGUGGGACUAUGUCCACACUCCCCCU